UACGUAUGGUGCAAGCGUUAUCCGGAUUUACUGGGCGUAAAGGGAGCGCAGGCGGCGCGCCAAGUCUGAUGUGAAACCCCGGGGCUCAACCCCGGGCAUGCAUUGGAAACUGGCGGGCUGGAGUGCCGGAGAGGUAAGCAGAAUUCCUAGUGUAGCGGUGAAAUGCGUAGAUAUUAGGAGGAACACCAGUGGCGAAGGCGGCUUACUGGACGGCAACUGACGCUGAGGCUCGAAAGCGUGGGGAGCAAACAGG
rnacentral:rRNA from 1 species